AUACACACAUGUGUAUGUAUGUAUAUACACACGUGUAUGUAUGUAUAUACAUACAUGUGUAUGUAUGUACAUAUGUGUGUAU